GACGAACGCUGGCGGCGUGCUUAACACAUGCAAGUCGAACGGAAAGGCCCUGCUUUUGUGGGGUGCUCGAGUGGCGAACGGGUGAGUAACACGUGAGUAACCUGCCCUUGACUUUGGGAUAACUUCAGGAAACUGGGGCUAAUACCGGAUAGGAGCUCCUGCUGCAUGGUGGGGGUUGGAAAGUUUCGGCGGUUGGGGAUGGACUCGCGGCUUAUCAGCUUGUUGGUGGGGUAGUGGCUUACCAAGGCUUUGACGGGUAGCCGGCCUGAGAGGGUGACCGGCAACAUGGGAACUGGGAUACGGCCCAAACUCCUACGGGGGGCAGCAGUGGGAAAUAUUGCACAAUGGGCGGAAGCCUAAUGCAGCAACGCCGCGGGCGGAAUGACGGCCUUCGGGUGGUAAACCGCUUUCGCCUGUAACGAAGCGGGAGGGACGGAAAUGGGUAAAGAAGCACCGCCUAACUACGU
rnacentral:rRNA from 1 species